rnacentral:rRNA from 1 species
AUUGAACGCUGGCGGCAUGCUUUACACAUGCAAGUCGAACGGCAGCACGGGGGGUAACCCCUGGUGGCGAGUGGCGAACGGGUGAGUAAUACAUCGGAACGUACCCAGGAGAGGGGGAUAACCUAGCGAAAGUUAGGCUAAUACCGCAUAGAAACUCGGGAGAGGAAAGUGGGGGACUGGGCGACUGGCCUCACGCUUUUGGAGCGGCCGAUGACCGAUUAGCUAGUUGGUGAGGUAAAGGCCCACCAAGGCGUAGGAUCGGUAGCUGGUCUGAGAGGGUGAUCAGCCACACUGGGACUGAGAGACGACCCGGACUCCUACGGGAGGCAGCAGUGGGGAAUUUUGGACAAUGGGGGCAACCCUGAUCCAGCCAUGCCGCGUGAGUGAAGAAGGCCUUCGGGUUGUAAAGCUCUUUCAGUUGGGAAGAAAGGGGAUAGGUGAAUAGCCUAUUCCGCUGACGGUACCGACAGAAGAAGCACCGGCUAACUACGUGCCAGCCGCCGCAGUAACAC